rnacentral:lncRNA from 1 species
UUAGGACAUACAAAUACAUUUAUUUCUAGCUCAACCAUCCAUACAAUCCCAAAUACAUCAAAAGAUUGAUGUUCUAAAUACAUUCAACCCUAAUUGAGCGACUAGUGCGAGUACAAUUACAAAAUUCAAAAUGUGACAGCCCCACCUUCCCCUAAGGCGAACCAAAGGGGUUAGCGGACUGCCUGCCCAACUCUCGCCAGGACUAACGGGGCAAUUCAAUACGGUCUAAACAUU